AGAGUUUGAUCAUGGCUCAGGAUGAACGCUAGCGGCAGGCCUAACACAUGCAAGUCGAGGGGUAACAUAGGAAAGCUUGCUUUUCUGAUGACGACCGGCGCACGGGUGCGUAACGCGUAUACAACCUGCCUUUUAGCGGGGAAUAGCCCAGGGAAACUUGGAUUAAUGCCCCAUAGUAUGGAGAUCUCUCCUGAGAUUUUCAUUAAACAUUUAUGGCUAUUAGAUGGGUAUGCGUCCUAUUAGUUAGUUGGUAAGGUAACGGCUUACCAAGGCAGCGAUAGGUAGGGGUCCUGAGAGGGAGAUCCCCCACACUGGUACUGAGACACGGACCAGACUCCUACGGGAGGCAGCAGUGAGGAAUAUUGGACAAUGGGCGAGAGCCUGAUCCAGCCAUGCCGCGUGCAGGAAGACUGCCCUAUGGGUUGUAAACUGCUUUUACAGAGGAAGAACCACUCCCACGUGUGGGAGUUUGACGGUACUCUGCGAAUAAGGAUCGGCUAACUCCGUGCCAGCAGCCGCGGUAAUACGGAGGAUCCAAGCGUUAUCCGGAAUCAUUGGGUUUAAAGGGUCCGUAGGCGGGCAGUUAAGUCAGUGGUGAAAGUCUUCCGCUCAACGGGAGAACUGCCAUUGAUACUGAUUGUCUUGAGUUAUUAUGAAGUGGUUAGAAUGAGUAGUGUAGCGGUGAAAUGCAUAGAUAUUACUCAGAAUACCGAUUGCGAAGGCAGAUCACUAAUAAUAUACUGACGCUGAUGGACGAAAGCGUAGGUAGCGAACAGGAUUAGAUACCCUGGUAGUCUACGCCGUAAACGAUGGUUACUAGCUGUUCGGCCCGAUUAAGGGCUGAGUGGUUAAGCGAAAGUGAUAAGUAACCCACCUGGGGAGUACGUUCGCAAGAAUGAAACUCAAAGGAAUUUGACGGGGGCCCGCACAAGCGGUGGAGCAUGUGGUUUAAUUCGAUGAUACGCGAGGAACCUUACCAGGGCUUAAAUGUAGUCUGACAGGGCUGGAACAGCUUUUUUCUUCGGACAGAUUACAAGGUGCUGCAUGGCUUUC
rnacentral:rRNA from 1 species